rnacentral:rRNA from 1 species
CCCAGACUCCUACGGGAGGCAGCAGUGGGGAAUAUUGCACAAUGGGGGAAACCCUGAUGCAGCGACGCCGCGUGGGUGAAGAAGUAUUUCGGUAUGUAAAGCUCUAUCAGCAGGGAAGAAAAUGACGGUACCUGACUAAGAAGCCCCGGCUAACUACGUGCCAGCAGCCGCGGUAAUACGUAGGGGGCAAGCGUUAUCCGGAUUUACUGGGUGUAAAGGGAGCGUAGACGGCCAUGCAAGCCAGGGGUGAAGGCCCGGGGCCCAACCCCGGGACUGCCCUUGGAACUGUGCGGCUAGAGUGCGGGAGGGGCAGGCGGAAUUCCUGGUGUAGCGGUGAAAUGCGUAGAUAUUAGGAAGAACACCAGUGGCGAAGGCGGCUUUCUGGACUGAAACUGACGCUGAGGCACGAAAGCGUGGGGAGCGAACAGGAUUAGAUACCCCGGUAA